GACGAACGCUGGCGGCGUGCCUAAUACAUGCAAGUCGAACGGACAGGCCCUGUUUUUGUGGGGUGUUCGAGUUGCGAACGGGUGAGUAACGCGUGAGUAACCUGCCCUUGAGUUGGGGAUAACUUCUGGAAACUGGUGCUAAUACCGGAUAAGAGUUCCUGCUGCAUGGUAGGGGUUGGAAAGUUUCGGCGGUUGGGGAUGUACAUGCGGCUUAGCAGCUUUAUGGAGUGGUAGUGGCUUACCAAGGCUAUGACGGGUAGCCGGCCUGAUAAGGUAACCCGCCACAUUGGGACACAGAAAAGACCCAGACUCCUGCGAAAGGCAGGCGUGGGAAACAUAGCAAAAUGCGCCGCGAGCUGAUGCAGCAUCACCGGGUGCGGAAUGACGGCCUUCGGAUUGUAUACCGCUUUCGAAUGUAACGAAGAGUGAGUGACGGUAAUGGGUAAGGAAGCACGGGCUAACUACGUG
rnacentral:rRNA from 1 species